GACGAACGCUGGCGGCGUGCUUAACACAUGCCAGUCGAACGGAAAGGCCCUGCUUUUGUGGGGUGCUCGAGUGGCGAACGGGUGAGUAACACGUGAGUAACCUGCCCUUGACUUUGGGAUAACUUCAGGAAACUGGGGCUAAUACCGGAUAGGAGCUCCUGCUGCAUGGUGGGGGUUGGAAAGUUUCGGCGGUUGGGGAUGGGCUCGCGGCUUAUCAGCUUGUUGGUGGGUAGUGGCUUACCAAGGCUUUGACGGGUAGCCGGCCUGAGAGGGUGACCGGCCACAUUGGGACUGAGAUACGGCCCAGACUCCUACGGGAGGCAGCAGUGGGGAAUAUUGCACAAUGGGCGGAAGCCUGAUGCAGCAACGCCGCGUGCGGGAUGACGGCCUUCGGGUUGUAAACCGCUUUCGCCUGUGACGAAGCGUGAGUGACGGUAAUGGGUAAAGAAGCACCGGCUAACUACGUG
rnacentral:rRNA from 1 species